UCUUGGGCAGCCAAGAGUGCCUGAGGAAUGGCACACAGAUCCCACCUGGGGAUGGAAGGGAGUCACGACUUGUCAGCCUGCCUUAUGCUCCUACCCCGUCAUCACAACUGUGAGAUCAUGACCUGAGCUGAAAUCAAGAGUCACCUGCUUAAACGACUGAGCCACCCAGGUGCCCCAAAGCAGCUAAGUUUAGGGGACACUAAUGUUAUCCUACCUUUUGGAUAAGUAGGAAGUUACGACUUGAAGCUGGGCACCUGGGCUAAGCUCCCAGAGAAACCGGCACACUGGCCACCGGCCACCUCAGUGUUCGUGUUUCAAAGAGGUGGCUCCAAGGCCCCCAAGAGAGACAUUCCUGAGAAGCAAAACUGCUCUUCCGGCCUUCCGAGGUCUUUUUACAGACGCCUCCCUGUCAUGGAACAAAGGUUUAUUAACACACAAGUAAUGAGCGUCAGCUCAAUUAAUUUUCGUAAAGUGAACAUAUCCAUGGAACCACCAGCUAGAGCAAGAAAGAAGAUGUUAAUUACACUCCCGAAGCCCCUCGCGUGACAUCAUCUGGUCACCAUCUGCCGAACUUCCCAAAGAAAAACUUCCUAACUUCUCAUGCCGUAGUCUCCAGCCUAAGAAUCCUAUAUGCAAGAAAUCCUAGAAGUUGUAGGCAUGUCUGGCUUCUUUUGCUCAGCUUCCUGUGAGAGAGAUUCAUCUGUCUUUUCUUGUGGGUUAGUAGUUUGUUCAUUUAAAUUUUUUUCAAUGUUUAUUCAUAUAUUUUGAGAGAGAGAGAGAGAGAGAGAGAGCGCAUAUGCUCAAGUGAACUUGAGCCGGUGGGGGGUGGGCAGGACAGAGAGAGAGGGAGAGAAAGAAUCCCAAGCAGGCUAUACAAGCAGCCCAGGAACCCUGUGAUCUGAGAUGAAAUCAAGAGUUGGAUGCUCAACCCACUGAACCACCCUAAACAUUUUUUCUUUUUUUUUUUUUUUAAUUUUUAAAAAAUCUUUAUUUUU